UUGAGAGUUUGAUCCUGGCUCAGAACGAACGCUGGCGGCACGCCUAACACAUGCAAGUCGAACGAGAAGGCACCUUCGGGUGUUGGACAGUGGCGGACGGGUGAGUAACACGUGGGAAUAUACCUUUUGGUUCGGGACAACGCUUGGAAACGAGUGCUAAUACCGGAUACGCCCUAUGGGGGAAAGAUUUAUCGCCAAGAGAUUGGCCCGCGCUAGAUUAGCUAGUUGGUGAGGUAAUGGCUCACCAAGGCGACGAUCUAUAGCUGGUUUGAGAGGAUGAUCAGCCACACUGGGACUGAGACACGGCCCAGACUCCUACGGGAGGCAGCAGUGGGGAAUAUUGGACAAUGGGGGCAACCCUGAUCCAGCGAUGCCGCGUGAGUGAUGAAGGCCUUAGGGUUGUAAAACUCUUUCAGAUGGGAAGAUAAUGACGGUACCAUCAGAAGAAGCUCCGGCUAACUCCGUGCCAGCAGCCGCGGUAAUACGGAGGGAGCUAGCGUUGUUCGGAAUUACUGGGCGUAAAGCGCGCGUAGGCGGCUUGGCAAGUUGGGGGUGAAAUCCCGGGGCUUAACCUCGGAACUGCCUCCAAAACUGCUGAGCUAGAAUCCUGGAGAGGUGAGUGGAAUUCCUAGUGUAGAGGUGAAAUUCGUAGAUAUUAGGAAGAACACCAGUGGCGAAGGCGACUCACUGGACAGGUAUUGACGCUGAGGUGCGAAAGCGUGGGGAGCGAACAGGAUUAGAUACCCUGGUAGUCCACGCCGUAAACGAUGGAUACUAGCUGUCCGGAUGCAAAUCUGGGCGGCCAAGCGAAAGUGAUAAGUAUCCCACCUGGGGAGUACGUCCGCAAGGAUGAAACUCAAAGGAAUUGACGGGGGCCCGCACAAGCGGUGGAGCAUGUGGUUUAAUUCGAUGAUACGCGAGGAACCUUACCAGGGCUUAAAUGUGGUCUGACAGCUUUAGAGAUAGAGCCUCCUUCGGGCAGAUCACAAGGUGCUGCAUGGUUGUCGUCAGCUCGUGCCGUGAGGUGUCAGGUUAAGUCCUAUAACGAGCGCAACCCCUGCCGUUAGUUGCCAGCAUGUAAAGAUGGGGACUCUAACGGGACUGCCGGUGCAAACCGCGAGGAAGGUGGGGAUGACGUCAAAUCAUCACGGCCCUUACGUCCUGGGCCACACACGUGCUACAAUGGCCGGUACAGAGAGCAGCCACUGGGCAACCAGGAGCGAAUCUAUAAAACCGGUCACAGUUCGGAUCGGGGUCUGCAACUCGACCCCGUGAAGCUGGAAUCGCUAGUAAUCGGAUAUCAGCCAUGAUCCGGUGAAUACGUUCCCGGGCCUUGUACACACCGCCCGUCAAGCCAUGGAAGCCGGGAGUGCCUGAAGUCCGUCACCGCAAGGAGCGGCCUAGGGCAAGAUCGGUAACUAGGGCUAAGUCGUAACAAGGUAGCCGUACCGGAAGGUGCGGCUGGAACACCUCCUU
rnacentral:rRNA from 1 species